UACGGAGGGUGCAAGCGUUGUUCGGAAUUACUGGGCGUAAAGCGCGCGUAGGCGGCUUUUUAAGUCAGAUGUGAAAGUCCAUGGCUCAACCAUGGGAGUGCAUUUGAUACUGAAAGGCUUGAGUACUGGAGGGGAUGGUGGAAUUCCCGGUGUAGAGGUGAAAUUCGUAGAUAUCGGGAGGAAUACCGGUGGCGAAGGCGACCAUCUGGCCAGAUACUGACGCUGAGGUGCGAAAGCGUGGGGAGCAAACAGG
rnacentral:rRNA from 1 species